rnacentral:rRNA from 1 species
AUUGAACGCUGGCGGCAGGCCUAACACAUGCAAGUCGAACGAGUGGCGGACGGGUGAGUAAUGUCUGGGAAACUGCCUGAUGGAGGGGGAUAACUACUGGAAACGGUAGCUAAUACCGCAUACCAUCGGAUGUGCCCAGAUGGGAUUAGCUAGUAGGUGGGGUAAAGGCUCACCUAGGCGACGAUCCCUAGCUGGUCUGAGAGGAUGACACGCGAAAGUGGGACUGAGACAAGGUUCAUGGUCCUACGGGAGGCAGCAGUGGGUAAUAUUGCACAAGGGUCGCAAGCCUGAUGCAGCCAUGGCGGGUGUAUGAAGAAGGCCGUCGUGUUGUAAAGUAAUUUCAGCGGGGAGGCGUUACCCGCAGCAGAAGCACCGGCUAACUCCGUGCCAGCAGCCGCGGUAAUGC